AUUGAACGCUGGCGGCAGGCCUAACACAUGCAAGUCGAACGGCAGCGCGGGGGCAACCCUGGCGGCGAGUGGCGGACGGGUGAGGAAUACAUAGGAAUCUACCCUGUCGUGGGGGAUAACGUAGGGAAACUUACGCUAAUACCGCAUACGACCGAGAGGUGAAAGCGGCGGACCGCAAGGCGUCGCGCGACUGGAUGAGCCUAUGUCGGAUUAGCUAGUUGGCGGGGUAAGAGCCCACCAAGGCGACGAUCGGUAGCUGGUCUGAGAGGAUGCUCAGCCACACUGGAACUGAGACACGGUCCAGACUCCUACGGGAGGCAGCAGUGGGGAAUAUUGGACAAUGGGCGCAAGCCUGAUCCAGCAAUGCCGCGUGGGUGAAGAAGGCCUUCGGGUUGUAAAGCCCUUUUGUACGGGAAGAAAUCCUGUCGGUUAAUACCCGGCGGGGAUGACGGUACCGUAAGAAUAAGCACCGGCUAACCUCGUGCCAGCAGCCGCCGUAACAC
rnacentral:rRNA from 1 species